GAUGAACGCUAGCGGCAGGCCUAACACAUGCAAGUCGAGGGGUAGAGUUCUUCGGGACUUGAGACCGGCGCACGGGUGCGUAACGCGUAUGCAAUCUACCUUAUACAGGGGAAUAGCCCAGAGAAAUUUGGAUUAAUGCCCCAUAGUGUUAUCGAAUCGCAUGGUUUGAUAACUAAAGUUCCAACGGUAUAAGAUGAGCAUGCGUCCCAUUAGUUAGUUGGUAAGGUAACGGCUUACCAAGACAAUGAUGGGUAGGGGUCCUGAGAGGGAGAUCCCCCACACUGGUACUGAGACACGGACCAGACUCCUACGGGAGGCAGCAGUGAGGAAUAUUGGACAAUGGGCGCAAGCCUGAUCCAGCCAUGCCGCGUGCAGGAUGACGGUCCUAUGGAUUGUAAACUGCUUUUUGACUAGGAAGUAAACACCUCUACGUGUAGAGACUUGACGGUACUGUAAG
rnacentral:rRNA from 1 species